UACGUAGGGGGCAAGCGUUGUCCGGAAUCAUUGGGCGUAAAGAGCGCGCAGGCGGUCGUUCAAGUCGCGUGUGAAAGCCCCCGGCUCAACUGGGGAGGGUCACGCGAUACUGAUCGACUCGAAGGCAGGAGAGGGUAGUGGAAUUCCCGGUGUAGUGGUGAAAUGCGUAGAUAUCUGGAGGAACACCGGUGGCGAAGGCGGCAUCCUGGACCAACACUGACGCUGAGGAGCGAAAGCCAGGGGAGCAAACGGG
rnacentral:rRNA from 1 species